UAGGGUGGUUGGGAGUACGCCAGCUGGGAAGACUACCACAAAUACUGUCAGACUUAUGAGAUGGAGCUAGAGUAUCUCAAGUACUAUGAGAAAUUAUCAAAGGACCUUAACUGGAUGAAAAAUUAUCUACACAUUGAGUAUACAUCUCCCAAGUGGAAAAUAAUAACUUGCCGAGGAGAUUACCAAGCACGUAAGAUCGCUGCUACUGAGUUCACUGGGAUUAGUUCAGAGUUCGCUCAAAUUG